rnacentral:rRNA from 1 species
GCUGCAUGGCUGUCGUCAGCUCGUGUCGUGAGAUGUUCGGUUAAGUCCGCUAACGAGCGCAACCCUCGCUGUGUGUUACAAGUGUCACACGGGUACUGCCGGUCUUUAAGCCGGAGGAAGUGGGGAUGACGUCAAGUCAGCAUGGCCUUUAUGUCCUGGACUACACACACGCUACAAUGGCCAACACAAUAGGUUGCUAAGCCGCGAGGUGGAGCCAAUCCUCAAAGUUGGUCUCAGUUCAGAUUGCAGGCUGCAACCCGCCUGCAUGAAGAUGGAGUUGCUAGUAACCGCAGGUCAGCUAUACUGCGGUGAAUACGUUCCCGGGGCUU